AGAGUUUGAUCCUGGCUCAGAAUUAACGCUGGCGGCAUGCCUAACACAUGCAAGUCGCACGAGAAAGCCCCCUUCGGGGGGCGAGUAAAGUGGCGCACGGGUGAGUAACGCGUGGAUAAUCUACCUUCAUCUGGGGGAUAACGCACCGAAAGGUGCGCUAAUACCGCAUAUUCCGGCGGGUCGUAGGUCCUGUCGGUAAAGGUGGCCUCUUCCUGAAAGCUACCGGGUGAAGAUGAGUCCGCGUCCCAUUAGCUAGUUGGUGGGGUAAAGGCCCACCAAGGCGACGAUGGGUAGCUGGUCUGAGAGGACGAUCAGCCACACUGGAACUGGAACACGGUCCAGACUCCUACGGGAGGCAGCAGUGAGGAAUAUUGCGCAAUGGGGGAAACCCUGACGCAGCGAUGCCGCGUGGGUGAAGAAGGCCUUCGGGUCGUAAAGCCCUGUCAAGUGGGAAGAAUAGCGGCGGGACGAAUAAUCUCGUCGUAUGACGGUACCACUGAAGGAAGCACCGGCUAACUCCGUGCCAGCAGCCGCGGUAAGACGGAGGGUGCGAGCGUUAUUCGGAUUUAUUGGGCGUAAAGAGCGUGUAGGCGGUCGGUCAAGUCAGAUGUGAAAGCCCGGGGCUCAACCUCGGAAGUGCAUUUGAAACUGGUCGACUUGAGUUCGGGAGAGGGAAGUGGAAUUCCGGGUGUAGAGGUGAAAUUCGUAGAUAUCCGGAGGAA
rnacentral:rRNA from 1 species